rnacentral:lncRNA from 1 species
CAUCAUCUCCAAAAAUGACUAAUUCGAUGCCAUUAUCAUCAUGCAAGGUACAUUUAUAUGGAAAUUGAUUUUUGGGAAAUUUGUUUCAUGAUUUUUCAUGUUUAAUUUUUGUACCUUUUUAUUGUCAAACUCACAAGUGUGAAAAAGAUAUUAACUAAAGUUUUUAGUACAAGAACACUUAUCUGGUUUGUAGUGAUUGAGGAUGCCUCAAUUCUACUCAUUGGUUUAGUUUUCAUCUUCUAUGCAUGAUUGGCUAAAGUACUUGAGACGAUAGGAAAAUAUAAGAUGGUGCAUGUACUUGGUGUGAUAUUUCAUCAAAUGCUGAUUUUGAAUGGUAAAAGUGAUCAAGACACAUCAAAUUCUAUUCGCACUUCACAUGACUUCCAUCAUAUGCUAUAUUAGAAAUGAGAUUGAAGGCAAUUCAUCAAAUUUUGUCUUAGUAAUGAUACCGACAUUUGUAAGAUUCGAUACAUCUUACUAUAAGAUUAAUAAUCUUUUAUUUGGUGUUUACACACUAGUUAGAAAGGAUAUAGUAAGAUGUAGCGAACCUUAUAGUAAGAUGUAGCGGAUCUUACAAAUAUCGGUAUCAUUACUAGGAUAAAAUUUGAUGAAUUGUCUUCAACUUCAUUCCUAAUAUAGCAUAUGAUGGAAGUCAUGCGAAGUGCAAAUGAAAUUUGAUGUGUCUGAUCAGUUUUGCCAUUCAAAACUAGCAUUUCAUGGAAUAUCACAUCAAGUAGAUGUACCACCAUCUUAUAUUUUCCUAUCAUCUCAAAUACUCUAACCAGUCAUGCAUAGUUAAUGAAAACUAGAUCAGUGAGUAGAAUUGAGACAUAUCCAAUCACUACGAACAAAAUAAAUGUUUUGCACUAUUAACUUCAAUGGAUAUUUGUUUCACACUUGUGAGCUUGAUAGUGAAAAGAUAUAAAAAUAGCAAAUGAAAAAUCACGAAGCAAAUUCCCCAAAAGGUAGGCUGAGUUCGAACACCGUUUGAUGCAGUUUCGUGGACGUAAUCAUGUGAAGUCGCCAUCAUUAACUUCACGGAUCUCAUCAUUUGAGGUGUCGCCAUUAUCUCCAAAAAUGACUAACUCGAUGCCAUUAUCAUCAUGUAAGGUACAUUUAUAUGGAAAUUGAUUUUUGGGAAAUUUGUUUCAUGAUUUUUUGUGCAAUUUUUGUACUUUUUCAUUGUCAAACUCACAAUUGUGAAAAAGAUAUUAACUAAAGUUUUUAGUACAAGAACACUUAUCUGGUUUGUAGUGAUUGGGAAUGCCUCAAUUCUACUUAUUAGUUUAGUUUUCUUCUUUUAUGCAUGAUUGGCUAAAGGACUUGAGACGAUAGGAAAAUAUAAAAUGGUGAUGCAUGUAUUUGGUGUGAUAUUUCAUCAAAUGCUAGUUUUGCAUGGUAAAAGUGAUUAAGACACAUCAAAUUCUAUUCGCAUUUCACAUGACUUCCAUUAUAUGCUAUAUUAGGAAUGAGGUUGAAGGCAAUUCAUCAAGUUUUAUCCUAGUAAUUACACUGACAUUUGUAAGAUCCGCUACAUCUUACUAUAACCUUUCUAACUAAUGUGUAAACACCAAAAAAAAGAUUAUUAAUCUUAUAGUAAGAUGUAGCGGAUCUUACAAAUAACAGUGUUAUUACUAGGAUAAAACUUAAUGAAUUGCCUUUAACCUAACUCCUAAUAUAGCAUAGGAUGGAAGUCAUGUGAAGUGCAAAUAGAAUUUGAUGUGUCUGAUCAGUUUUGUCAUUCAAAAUUAGCAUUUGAUGGAAUAUGACACCAAGUAGAUGCACCACCAUCUUAUAUUAUCAUCUCAAAUACUCUAACCAGCCAUGCAUAGAAGAUGAAAAUUAGACCAGUGAGUAGAAUUGAGGCAUAUUCAAUCAUUACGAACAAGAUUAAUGUUUUGCACUAUUAAAUUCAAUGGAUAUUUGUUUCACACUUGUGAGUUUGACAAUGAAAAGAUAUAAAAAUAGCAAAUGAGAAAUCACGAAGCAAAUUCCCCUAAAGGUAGGCUGAGUUCGAACACUGUUUGAUGCAGUUUCAUGGACGUAAUCAUGUGAAGUCACCAUCAUUAACUUCACGGAUCUCAUCAUUUGAGGUGUCGCCAUCAUUUUCAAAAAUGACUAACUCGAUGCCAUUAUCAUCAUGCAAGGUACA